rnacentral:snRNA from 1 species
AUCGCUUCUCGGCCUUUUGGCUAAGAUCAAGUGUAGUGUUGCCCAUCACAUUCAAAGAGCUUUAUAAAUCUAGUUUUUUUUUUUAACCAUGGGGUAGAGGUGUGGUAUAGAUGCUAAUGAUUAAUUUUGUUUUAAAAUGUGCAGUUUUACAUGUUUAAAAAGUGAAAUCUUAA